UACGUAGGGUGCGAGCGUUGUCCGGAAUUAUUGGGCGUAAAGGGCUCGUAGGCGGUUUGUCGCGUCGGGAGUGAAAGUCCGGGGCUCAACUCCGGAUCUGCGGUGGGUACGGGCAGACUAGAGUGAUGUAGGGGAGACUGGAAUUCCUGGUAUAGCGGUGAAAUGCGCAGAUAUCAGGAGGAACACCGAUGGCGAAGGCAGGUCUCUGGGCAUUAACUGACGCUGAGGAGCGAAAGCAUGGGGAGCGAACAGG
rnacentral:rRNA from 1 species